AGGCGCCCAGACUGGGGCUUCCGAGUGGAGCGUUUUCGGGGCUUACUUGGGUAGGAGAGGGUUGUUGUCAGGGCUGGGUUUGGAGAACAGGACAGUACCCCUGAUCUCUCUGCUUCGGACGUUGUAAAGGAUCUUGUUUCGUGUCUGGAGUCCACAGCAGCCUGGGCGGACCAGGUAGUCCGCUCCGUUCUGUUUAGAUGUCUUGAGGUUCUAGGACCGACCGCUCACUUUUCUUCACAUGUUCGCAGUUUCCGGACAUCUAGGGGAUCGAACGGCCGGACUGUGGUCAUGUCAUCCCUAAAUCGAUUUAAUUUCUGACCUAUUGGGUCAGGUUGAGGCCUACCUCGUGGUGGGUAACCAUUUGAGCACUUGCUGUUGAACGCUGGAAAUACAGAAAAAGAUAACAGCCCCUAGGCAAGAGCCUGGUUGGGCAAGACAGACUGGAAAACUGUAUAGUUCGGAAAGCACAAAAAAGUAUGGAGUUUGAACUGCUUGUGAUUCACUAAGGCCUAGAGUGUACCAGACAUGCCAUUUUGAAAAGUGUUUUAAGGUGUGAGUAGUGAGUUGAUAGCUUACAUUUUUCUCACUCUCCAUUUGGAAUUGUUCCCAAAUCGGUUGUUGUAGAGCUGUUUACCCAUCUGUUACUAGAAGUGGUCAGGAUGAGUCCUGUCGCUAAGGAAUAGGCAUUCAGCCACUUACUAAAAUAAGAUCUUACUAAGAUCACUACUCAGGCUUAACUGUGGAGGGACCGGCUUCAUCUUAUCUUAAAGCUGUGAGCCUCUAUUUAGGCAAAACUAGCAGCAAAUAAUGACUGUAUAAAAAUUUCAGUUUUUAUGUGUGCGAAUGUGUGUAUGGCAUGUGUUUGUACGUGUUGAUACCAGGACACACAAUAUGUGGGUUCGGAAGAUCCAACUGAAGUUGGCAGGCUUGCAUAGGAAGCACCUCUACCCACUGAGCCAUCUCUCUUGCCCUAAAGAUUCAUAACAGAACAAGGGAUUGGACACAUGGUUAUUCACCUAGUAGCAGAGGGACUGUUUUAAUCUUUGAGUCAAUGCCUUGUGGGCUUUAGGGUAAUAAAGGGAACUUUUUGGCUUCAGCUCUCUAACCUAGUUAACUGUGUCCCACAGAAGACUUUUAUAAAACAUUGCAAAGAAAUCUUUCAUCAGUGACAAAAUCUUCAGAAUCUUUGCAGGGUUUGGAGCAAUUUGGGGUUUUUUGGUCUGUUUGUUUUUUCGAGCUAGGGUUUCUCUGUGUAGCAUUGGCUGCCUGGAACUACUCCGUAGACCAGGCUGGCCUCGAACUCAUAGAGAUCUGACUGCCUCUGCCUCUCAAGUUCUGGGCUAGAACAUGUGCCUCUACUACUUGGGUAGAGCGGUGUUUCUGUAGUUGAUAAGACAACUACAAGCCUUUUCUUUUGAAGUUACAGGGUUAAACAGGACACACACACGUACACCAUUUAUAUCUUUAACUGAUCUGACUUAGAAUAGCGGUUCUCAACCUUCCUAAAGCUGUGACCCUUACUAUAGUUCUAUAGUUCCACAUGUUGUGGCCACUCCAACCAUAAAGCUGUUUUAAAAAGCUUC
rnacentral:lncRNA from 1 species